CACACACUACUCAAUAGGGACAAUUUACAAUUUUUAUCAAAACCAAUUAACCUACAAAUACUCGUAGUCAGGAUCGAAUCUGGUCUCUGCCACCGUGGAAAAGCAAAGGAUGUGACAAAAUGAGCAGAUAAUUUGUGACAAAAAACUUCACGAAGCACCUGCAUUUGUUAUUAACGACUGGAGAAGACAAGGUUUUAGAUAGUUCAUGGUAGAAGAAAUUGUGUCACCUGCUUUCCCGAAUAAUGAUAGAAUAGUUGACUAUAAUGUUGUAAGGCGGACAAAGCACAGAGAAGAAAUGGGAACAUUUCAUAAAUAUUAACUGCGUUGAACUAAUUUAGCUGCUGCACAUCUAAAUUUAGGAAAUAAUAGAUUUAAUUCCCUAGUCCCUCAACAUCAAUAUUCUUGACUAGUAACUCAACCAGUCCAGCCAGAUAAAUAACAUAGCUUUGAACAAAUCAAAGGCUGCAUGUCCCGUGGAAAGUGAUUCAACUCCAUCACAGAGAUUUCCAUCAUUUACAACACAUAGGUCAAGAGUGCGAUGGAAUAUUCUCCACUUGCCUGGGUGAGAUCAGCUACCACAAUACACAAGAGGCCCAACAAAUCCAGGACACGGUUGCGUAGUUGACGACAUCCUGUCCAACACCUUAAACAUUCCCCUUUAACGCACUGAAGCUGUAAUGUGUUCCCUUCAAUAGCUGCAGUGCAGUGACCCACCUGCUGACCCACCUAUCAAACCAACAACCUCUACCAGCAAGAAGACAAAGACAGCAGUUGUAUCUGAACACCACUCACUAUCCCAUGUCUGAAACAUGCAUUGAUUCUUUAACAAUGCAAACAAGGAGAACGAGCAUGAGAACCAGAGGCAUAGUUUAAGGUGAAGGAGGAAAGAUUUAAUAGAAUCAUGAGAUAUAAUCAUGAGGCCCAGGGAGCCGUUGCCGAGAGAGGGGGAGGAGUACCUGCGCUAUAAAAUCCUCUUGCCCUGCGCAGCAGAGGGGGACUCUGAGUAAGAUGGCCAAAAAUCACAGCCGUAAGCAGCAGCGUUUUUUCAAAAAUCAUGAAACAGAAAAACAGGAAGUGGUCAAGAUCUUACUUUUAGUAAUAUAGAUAAUAAUGUAUACAAUGGUAACUGUAACUUUAAGAACUGAGUACCAGAAUGGUGUAAUUUGUGUCAUGCGAUAUAUUCAUUAUCUUAGUAGUCUCGUGAAAUUGUGUGAGUAUGCGCAGUGUACCUCUGUAAAAUAAAGAAGACCCACGCUGGCAAUAGUGUAUACUGAAAA